rnacentral:rRNA from 1 species
GCUGGCGGCGCGCCUAACACAUGCAAGUCGAACGAAGAAUGCGGAGCUUGCUCUGCAAACUUAGUGGCGAACGGGUGAGUAACGCGUGAGUAACCUGCCUUAAAGAGGGGGACAACAGUUGGAAACGACUGCUAAUACCGCAUAAGCCCACACUACCGCAUGGUAGAGAGGGAAAAGAUUUAUCGCUUUAAGAUGGACUCGCGUCUGAUUAGCUAGUUGGUGGGGUAAUGGCCUACCAAGGCGACGAUCAGUAGCCGGACUGAGAGGUUGAUCGGCCACAUUGGGACUGAGACACGGCCCAGACUCCUACGGGAGGCAGCAGUGGGGGAUAUUGCACAAUGGGGGAAACCCUGAUGCAGCGACGCCGCGUGGAGGAAGAAGGUUUUCGGAUCGUAAACUCCUGUUGUCAGGGACGAUAAUGACGGUACCUGACAAGAAAGUGACGGCUAACUACGUGCCAGCAGCCGCGGUAAAACGUAGGUCACAAGCGUUGUCCGGAAUUACUGGGUGUAAAGGGAGCGCAGGCGGGAAGAUAAGUUGGAAGUGAAAUCUAUGGGCUCAACCCAUAAACUGCUUUCAAAACUAUUUUUCUUGAGUGGUGCAGAGGUAGGCGGAAUUCCUAGUGUAGCGGUGGAAUGCGUAGAUAUUAGGAGGAACACCAGUGGCGAAGGCGGCCUACUGGGGCACUAACUGACGCUGAGGCUCGAAAGCAUGGGUAGCAAACAGGAUUAGAUACCCUGGUAGUCCAUGCC